AAAAUACUCCCUCCGUCUCAAAAUUCUUGUGUUAGAUUCGUCUAAAUAUGGAUGUAUCAAGUCACGUUUUAAUAUUAGGUACAUCCGUUCUAGAUAAAUUUAAGACAAGAAUUUUGGUAUAGAGAAAAUAGUAA
rnacentral:pre_miRNA from 1 species